UGGAUUUUUUUUUCAAACAAUAUGAAGAAUAAUUCACCAAGCAUUGGAUUGUUCACCCACUAAUACGGAACAUGAGCUGGGUUUAGACCAUGGUGAGACAGGUU
rfam:Tupaia chinensis contig206943, whole genome shotgun sequence.